AAAUCUCUGUCCAUAAUUGGCCUAUGUUUACUUCACUAGCAGAACAGUUGCAGUCUAGACGUUUUUACUGAUCUUGGAAUCCUUAAUAUUUGCAUAGCUGAUGCAAACAGCUGAUACUUGAACAUUUGAAAGUCUGCUUAUUCAAAAGACAAAUAUAUCCUCAUAAAAAUGCACGUGACGACAGUGGCGGAAUCAGAACAUUUUUAUAGGGAGUCUAAAUAUAUCAAUAAAAAAAUUAUUUAUUAACGCUUGAAGUGUGCUUCUUUAAAUUCAUUUUGCACAAUUAUAAUUGUCUAGCCUAAUUAUAUAAUACUGCACACCUCAAGACUAGACAAAUAAAAACACCAUAGAAUUAUAUCAAAAAUAAGUCGGCCCAUUAUAGGUCAGCCCGCAUAUGGACCCAACAACCGGAAUGAGUCCACAUUGAGUAGCCCACGAGUGGCAACCAAAUCUGUACGUCAGCAAUUUGAAAUUUGGAAACACCUGUGGGCCCCAUGUCAGCCAAAAAAAGUCAGCAGCUCACUUGCCCAAACACGUGCACUACCACUGGUGAAAACAGAUACUGGCGACAAAUCCGACAGUAACCCAACCUCCGGCCAAGACUCUCAAGAAGAGUGACAUAACAGGAGCCAACCAGAAGCACAUCCAUAGAUACCAUACUGAUUCCGCAUAUUAAAUUAGGCAGCAACGUAAGGGAAAUCAAUAUGAAAAAUCAAAACAACAACCCAAAAUCACCAGGAUCAUAGGAUAAACCCAGAUACCGACGAGACAAACUAACAAACAUCCAAAUCUAAAUCCUUAAAAAAACAAUAAAUACAAAUGAUCCAGACCGAAAAGAAGGUAGAAUCAAAAUGACGUCAAUCAUAGUUCCAUCAAUGAUUAAACAAGACAGAUCCGAAACAUCCAACACGAUUAGGAAUCAACAAAAUCAAACCAGAAAGCUCAACAACAAAGCUUCCAAACACAUCCGAAUCUGAAAAAGAUAUAGACAAGUAAAUUAAACUAAAUCCAGAUCUGUAAACAAACAACCACAGAAUGCCUAAGAAAAAAUAGAGAAGAACAACACGACCCAUCAUAUCCUCUUCUAAAGUCCAAACCCUAACUGAACAUCAAGAUCUAAACCCCAAACACCUGCAGAUCACUCCCCCCUCCAACUCCAAUCCUAGGCAUGACUGAACGAAAAGACCUCCAAACUCUCCCUCGCCGCCGGAGAUUCCAGGGGGGUCAUAUGACCCCCCUCGACCCCCUGGUUCCGCCUCUGAUUCAGAGUACAGUAUAGUCAUUCUAUAAAUUGCAUGUAUAAGGCCAUUGCAUUUUGAACAACAAAAAUAAAUUACAUACUAAACAGACAAUCAUCUAAUUUAUCGUGUGGAUAUAAGAAUAUAUUAUACAAAUGCUUUUCCAGCACGUAUUAAAAUCAAUUGCACACAAACCCAAAAAAACCAAAAGAAAAGAAAAGAAAAGAAAAUUUUUAAUAUCAUGAGAAAGUGUACACAACUGACUUAUAUUUAUCUUCUGCAAUUCCACGACCUGAAAAUAAAUUAUAAAACCACUAAAUGAUACCAAUCAGCAGAGGAUUAGCAACAGGCAAUCAUUAGAUAUUAUAAUUGGCAAUAACACAGCCUAUAAGCUAAAGAAGUACCAAAGCCAUUGCCGUAUGAGUUUAAAUCAUUUAAAAAAAAAAGAAAAAAGAACACUUCACCUUGGUGCCUGCUCACUGUUCUUUAAAACUGUGUGUGAGGUAAGGGCCCACUUUGCAGGCUGCAAUAGGAACANNNNNNNNNNNNNNNNNNNNNNNNNNNNNNNNNNNNNNNNNNNNNNNNNNNNNNNNNNNNNNNNNNNNNNNNNNNNNNNNNNNNNNNNNNNNNNNNNNNNCAACUAUGGGGACGAAAAUGUUCACUUUAUCAAUUGAGGGAUUACUUUGAAACUACCUACCAACUUGGAAAGCUAGAUGUGUAAUUUAGCCUUUAUCUAGUGACAAAAACAUAUUGAUUAAUUAUUCAUGUAUAGUACUAAUUUACAAACAAUAUUAUUGUAUCUAUUUGUAAUAAUUAAUUUGUUUUUGUCGCAAUAUAUAUAGAAGAAUUCUAACCUUCAACGAAUAACUUUGAUGAUGAAUAUGUAACGCAACUUAAGUAGUAAAGUGAACUUGAGAUCGCAUAACUUAUUUGAGCCUAAGCGCAAGCGAUAAGUAGAGCUAGUAGGUAAAGUAAUUGCCAAAUAAUGAAUAAACUACUCCCCAAACAACUGUUGACCAACUCAUCUACUU
rnacentral:lncRNA from 1 species